rnacentral:rRNA from 1 species
AUACGGAGGGUGCAAGCGUUAAUCGGAAUUACUGGGCGUAAAGCGUACGUAGGCGGUUAUUUAAGUCAGAUGUGAAAGCCCCGGGCUUAACUUGGGAACUGCAUUUGAAACUGGGUAACUAGAGUUUAGUAGGGGGGAGUGGAAUUUCAGGUGUAGCGGUGAAAUGCGUAGAGAUCUGAAGGAACACCAGUGGCGAAGGCGACUCCCUGGACUAAAACUGACGCUGAGGUACGAAAGCGUGGGUAGCAAACAGGAUUAGAAACCCCUGUAGUCC